CUGGGAGCCGGUCAGUCCUGCUGCCCCCACACCAGCUCCUGGGCUGCCCAGUUCCUCGUGCUCUGUGCUCCCGAGCUGUGCGAAUUGUUAAGGGAGGUAUGCACUCCACCUACCCCAGGACAAGUGGGUCUGGGGACAGGUGUGUGUGGCUCCACACACAGGUGCUCACUGCUGGUCCUGGGCCUCAAAGUGAAAACAAGAUUUACAUUUAGGCAAUGUGAAACUCCCUGUACCAGCUAAUGGGGCACAACCUCUUCAAACUGACUCUAAUUUUCUUCUAUUUAAGGUCCCAGCUAGCCUCUCUUCUGUCUCAUGGUGAAAACACAAUCUUUCCCUGGCACCCCAGGCAUCUGACUUGCUCUCCUCCUGCGAUGCCUGGCUCCCCUGGUCUCUGAACACCCUGCGUGUGCUCCUAGAACUCGACUCUGGUCUGGAACC
ensembl:lncRNA